GAAUUGUCAGCUCCAUGGGACACAAAACAGUGAUUCUCCUACAACAUUCUGCAUCUGAAUUGGACCACAAAUUGGCAACAUCUGGCCCUGCAACUGCCAAGAGACUGAAUUUUAGUUAAUGUCCCGGUUAAGAAAGCAUAGACAUAACAAAUGGUGUCCAAUUUAUUUGAGAUGACAUUCCUGCACACAAAGUUGGUGACAUAAUUAAGAAAUGUAUUCAACCUAUUACUAAUUUAACACAGCUCAUCAAUAUUUUCAUCAGAAAGCUGUUUAUGGCCCACAGUGUCACAACUGAAUUUACGCAUUGUGCGUCCAACUAAUUUGAGUUACCAGUCAAGGAGUGGCUGGUGAAGAGACAGCAAGAGCCAAGUCUGUGUCAAAGCACACUCAGCUGCAAUGCAGCCAGCAGGAGAGGGGAUGAGAAGACCCACAGUAGUAUGAAGAGCUACAAGUCCUCUCCACUAACAUGUGAGCUCUUCACUUGUUCAAAAAUGUUCAAACAACUUUUCUGGCAAUUGCUUUUCACUUUCAUACAUCUGUUUCAAUGCCUAGUUACA